rnacentral:lncRNA from 1 species
AUCAACCAGCUCUCCCUAUGGUUAAGCGGUCUCUUCACACCAUACUUUCCCACGGGUUUAGCGUUAAGUUCGCAACACAAUCCGACCGACACCCCCGGCCAUAUUGGCCCCCCCAGUUUGAGCAAGUCAAUACAUUCGGGCAUUGCCAAGAUCAUGAAAGGUGGUGGUUGAGAGAUGGAAGCAUGUCCCCCUCCACAGUUAAUAUUUCUAGUUUUUUUCCAUCCUUCCAUUUUUUUCCGUCGGGACUUGUAGGGCUUACGCACGUCCCAAAGCCCUCCUGUUCUGUAUAUAAGAAGUACACACACAGUGCCAUUCCAAAAAUACACAGUGCUACUACUACUACUACUACUACCACCACUACUACAAAGGGAGAGUGCGAGAGUGCGAGAGAAGCUCAGCGAAGCGAGUGAGAAAAGUAGCUCACCUUUUGUUCGCUCGUCAAUCUUCUCGCCGGCACUGCUGCUGCUUGCUUGGGCCCAAAUCUCUCCUCUUUGUCUUUGUUUUGUCUUCCUCGGUGGCGUUUGCUUUGCAUCAUUGCGGAAACACCAGCCGGAAUCUACAGUUCAACGAAAACCAAGUCAAGCACAAUCUUUCUUCUCGAAACACGGCACUGGCUGCGCUAGCAAGCAAGCCUAGUGGCCAUUCGUUUACCUGUCUCGCAUUCCUUCGUUGCGCAUUCGUUCCAUCUUGUCGGGCGGCUCCAAAGCAUCUCUCACAGCUCGUAAAUUCUUUGUUUUUCCACUUCUCGCUCGUGUGGUUUGUCCUGAAGCAGCUUAAAAAGCCAUCACUCUGUUUCGGAGGAAUCGCUUCCCUGCAGUCGCUCAAUCAGUAAGGCCGAGAGAACAAAAAAAAGAAAAAAAAGAAUAGAAAAAAAGCUUGCAAAUACUUACCGAGAGAGAAAGAGAGCGAUCGAAGAUGCUUGAGAUUGAGCAGAGCGUUGCUGACGAACACAUCCGCAGUCACAACCACUUUGAGGUGCUCCAGUGCAUAGAUCGCACCAACGGUACCGGGAGGAAGGAGAAGGUGCUGUCAGACGACAGAGAGCGUCUCAAUUUCCUGGAGCUCAUGUCGCUCAGCACUGUCCCAAUGGCUUUAAAGGCCAUAACUCUCCUGGACGUGCCUCAGAUCAUGGCUGACGCGGAGCAAGGCACCAUGCUGU